GCCGCUUUAGCUCACCUGGGAGAGCGCCAGACUGAAGUCAAACUUUAGUUCUUCUAGCCUGUUCACAACAGGUAGUAUUCUGGAGGUACUGUGUUCGAUCCACAGAAGCGGCA